rnacentral:rRNA from 1 species
UUCCCCCAGUAACUGCGAGUGAAGCGGGAAGAGCCCAGCGUUGAAUCUGCCGGUCAUUGGCCGGUCGAACUGUAACGUACGGUGGCGCCUUGAGCUCGGAGUCGGCAGCCAUCAAAGUUCUCCGGAGUGAGACGCCAUAGAGGGUGACAGCCCCGUUGAUGGUGGUUGCCGGGCCGAGGUGGGUGCACACCAAGAGUCGGGUUGUUUGGGAAUGCAGCCUAAAGCAGGUGGUAGACUCCACCGAAGGCUAAAUAUCGACACGAAACCGAUAGCGAACAAGUACUGUGAAGGAAAGUUGAAAAGAUGCCUGAAAAGGCGGUCAAAAGUACGUGAAACCGUCAGCAGGGAAGCAGAGAGCGGUAUCGUGGUUGAGCGUUAGUUGCCGCACAGAUUUGUGCGGUGGCCUUUUCGCUGAACGCGCCCGGCCCGCCGACACUGGCUGGGUGAACUGGUGUGUUGUUGCAGGCUGGCGAGCAUUUUCCAGUGUUUGACAUUGCAGCAAACCCAGUGCCCACCCACGUCAGUGUUGGGGUGGUUGAGUGGUGGCGACACGCCGUUACGCUGUUGCUUGUGGUUCGGGUGUGCUCCAAGGGCAUGUGCCGAGCAGAGCGGCAGAGUAAAGUGUGGCCAGCGCCGGGCGAGAUAGCUGGCUCUCUGACCCGUCUUGAAACACGGACCAAGGAGGCUAAAACGACAGCGAGUCGGUGGGUGGAAAACCCUGCGGCGUAGCGAAAGCAAGCAGUAGCACGCUCGUGCAUGAACCGCGUCAACUCGUGGCUUGUACGGGCCGCACUACUGACCGCUGCCGGUUAACUGUGCAGUGAGUUGCAGCUGUGGUUGUAGGACCCGAAAGAUGGUGAACUAUGCUUGACCAGGAUGAAGCCAGAGGAAACUCUGGUGGAGGUCCGAACAAGUUUUGACGUGCAAAUCAUAUUUGGCGAGUUGAGCAUAGGGGCGAUAGACUAAUCGAACCAUCUAGUAGCUGGUUCCCUUCGAAAUUUCCCUCAGGAUCGCUGGGGCGCGUAGUUGCAGCUUCAUCGGGUAGAGCGAAUGAUUAGAGGCAUCGGGGACAUAUUACUCUCGACCUAUUCUCAAACUAUCAACCGGUGAUAGGGUCGGUCUUGCUUGACGUGAAGCCGGCCCAUAGCAUGAGUGCUGCGCC